rnacentral:rRNA from 1 species
CACACCCCCGGGUCGAACCCAGCGGAUGGGCGCUUGGUGAAAGGCGGUCAAGGACGACACUCGUACGAAGAAUUUCCCAGGACAAUCAACCCUGCCCCGGCCAGAGUGCAGGAUCGCCCUGGGCCUGCUGCCUCAACAUGUGCGGCGCCGGNUGCAUGGCUCCGAACAUCGCCAUCCUGGGCUAUCCACCGGCAGGCCGCCCAAGAAUCGACUCACGACGGCGAUGAACCAAGAUGUGCGAAAUCCCCGACCGAUCGAUCGCCGGCCAUGUCCCCACCGGGGCCAUCCAGACCCGACGACGGUAGCCGGCGGCUCCACGUCAAAAAGAGA